rnacentral:rRNA from 1 species
CCUACGGGUGGCUGCAGUGAGGAAUAUUGGUCAAUGGACGAGAGUCUGAACCAGCCAAGUAGCGUGAAGGAUGACUGCCCUAUGGGUUGUAAACUUCUUUUAUAUGGGAAUAAAAUGUUCCACGUGUGGGAUUUUGUAUGUACCUUAUGAAUAAGGAUCGGCUAACUCCGUGCCAGCAGCCGCGGUAAUACGGAGGAGGCGAGCGUUAUCCGGAAUGAUUGGGGGUAAAGGGUGCGUAGGUGGUUUGUGAAGUUAGUAGCGUAACUCUAAGGCUCAACCUUAAAACUGCUACUGAUACUGUUAGUCUUGAGUGCAGGAGAGGCAGCCGGAAUUCCUAGUGUAGCGGUGGAAUGCUUAGAUAUUAGGAAGAACACCAGUGGCGAAGGCAGGUUACUAGACUGUAACUGACACUGAGGCACGAAAGCGUGGGUAGCAAACAGGAUUAGAUACCCGAGUAGUC